AUUUAUAUAGUAUAAAUAAUUACAUUUAACUUCCAAUUAAAAAAUUUGGUUAAUACUAAUAUAAAUA
rnacentral:tRNA from 1 species